ensembl:lncRNA
GCAUGUGCUCGUGCUACUCAUGAGGAAGAGUAAGGAGGAUCCUUUGAACCCAGGGGUUUGACGCUAGCCUAGGCAACAUAGCAGAACCCCUCUCAGAAAAAAAAAAAGUAUACUUCUGAAGGACACUGUGCCAAGCCUUCCUUGGAAAGAAGGAAGAACACACAAAUCCAAUAAACGCCUCCCAGAUGCCAUACCCUUUGGCAGUCCGUCUCUUAGAAACUCAGGCUGUUUUGAGACAGCUAAGGAGGCCAGAGAAGCCCUGUGACUCACCCGCCACCCUCCAGAUGGGCUGGGCGGAGCUUACCGUGACGGGUCAGUCAGGCGGUGGUACUAGUGACCAGACCUUGGAGGCAUCCUGGGGAGGGCAUGCAGGAGCCUGGCCUGGGGCUGCAGUCUGUCUCAGCCAUCUGUUAACUCCAGGAUGGUCCACAUCAGCAAUCAGCGCCUGUCUGCUGCCCCUCUGCUGCCUGGGAUGAGCAGGCAAAACCUGCUUUUUAUUACUACUCAGUUCCCAAAGAACCAGAAUGUCUUCAGCUGAUGUAAUCUUGCCCUUGAGCAUCACAGCAUCAUGGGACCACUGAGGCCUCAACUUGUGACCAAAGGAAGCCAGAUCUGAAAUCAAGGUGUCAACAGAUAUGUUUCCUUCAGGAGGCAACAAAGAAGACUCUGUCCCAGGCCUGCCCCCCAGCUUCUGAUGGUGGCUGGCAACUUUGGGUAUUCCUUGGCGUGUCGAUGUGUCACUUCAGCAUCUGUCGCUCUUGUCACAUGCCCUCUUCUCUCUGUGUCAAACUUCCUCUUUUUUUUUUUUUGUGCUGGGGAUUGAACCCAGGGCCCUGUGAAUACUAAGCACGUGAACUACCAGAGUUACACCCCUAGCCUUAAAUUUCUUCUGUGCGUGUGCGUGUGUGUGUUUGUGUGUGUGUGUGUGUGUGUGUGGCACGUGUGCGGUACUAGGGAUAGAACCCAGGGCCUUUGCCCUGAGCCACAUUGCCCAACUUUUUAUUUGAGACAGCGUCUAGAUAUGUAGUUCAGGCUGGCCUUGAAUUCUUUUCUUUUUGGUACCAGGGAUCAAACUCAGGACCUUGCAGUUGCGAGGCAGGCGCAGGAACCACUGAGCUAAAUCCCCGGCCCUGGCCUUGAAUUCUUGGUAAUCCUUCUGCGUCAGCCUCCCGGAUUGCUGAGAUUACAGUUGUCCACUGACAGAAAUCAAGGCCCAUGGCCUCACACUUGCUAGGCAAGUGCUCUACCACUGAGCUAUAUCCUCAGCCCUGAAGAUUUUUUUUAAGCAGCUUUAUGAAUAUUGCUUCACGUACCAUACAAUUUGAGCAUCGAGAGUAUACAUUGCAGUCCAGUGUGGUAGUGCACGGCUGUAGUCCCAGUACUCUGGGAGGCUUAGGCAAGAGGGUCACAAGUUCAAGCCCAGCCUGGCCAACUUAGCAAGACUGUCUCAAAAUAGAAAGCCUUGGAUGUAGCUAGUGGUAGAACACCCCUGACCUCAAUGCCUAGUACCGCAAAUAAAUUAAUUAAUGAAUAAAUAAAGUGUACAUUCCAAUGGUUUUCAGGUGUUCUCAGGAUUCUUUGUUGUGGGGCUGUCUCAGGGAUGUAGGAUGGUGAGCAGCAUCCCUGGUGGGCCCUCCCCAUUUGUUUCCAGGAGCGCCACCUGGUCAUGACAAUCCGAAUUCUUUCCUGAUAUUGUCCAGUGUCCCUGAGGGGCUGAAUCUCUCAGCUGAGGACCUCAGCUAAAGCCCAAGGUCCAAGGCCUGGUCCUUGCUGGGUUUUCCUCCCUGACACAGGAAGCUCACAGAAAGGCAGGGAAUUGUCCACCAGCCCUCACCUUCCUGUGUAGAUAUUGAGG